rnacentral:lncRNA from 1 species
GGAGCACUUUGACGCAAUUUAGUCCCAUUUUUUGGGGUCGGUGAGUUCUUUUCCGGCCCCAAAUCCUCUCUGCCAUUUGUCUUUGGAUUUGGACACGAUCCUUCAUUUGUAUUACCACAGAUCUUGGGUUUUGAAUCAACAUUUGUAUUGCCACAGAUCUUGGGUUUUGAAUCAACAUUUGUAUUGCCACAGAUCUUGGGUUUUGAAUCCACAGCAAGAUAGUUUGUCAGCGCCCUCUUCACACCAAAACCACGACGAGGAGGCUUGUUGUUAUUGCUUUUGGAGGAGGUGGUACUGUGG